UACGAAGGGGGCGAGCGUUGUUCGGAUUUACUGGGCGUAAAGGGCGCGCAGGCGGCGGAUCAAGUCAGGCGUGAAAGCCCCGGGCUCAACCUGGGAACAGCGCUUGGGACUGGUUUGCUGGAGUUCGGGAGAGGAGCGUGGAAUUCCCAGUGUAGAGGUGAAAUUCGUAGAUAUUGGGAAGAACACCGGUGGCGAAGGCGGCGCUCUGGACCGAUACUGACGCUGAGGCGCGAAAGCGUGGGGAGCAAACAGG
rnacentral:rRNA from 1 species